ACGGCUCAGUAACACGUAGUCAACCUACCCUAUGGACGGGGAUAACCUCGGGAAACUGAGGAUAACCCCCGAUAGAUCAUUAUACCUGGAACGGUUUAUGGUCCAAAUGAUUCGUCGCCGUAGGAUGGGACUGCGGCCUAUCAGCUUGUUGGUGAGGUAAUGGCCCACCAAGGCUAUUACAGGUACGGGCUCUGAGAGGAGAAGCCCGGAGAUGGGUACUGAGACACGGACCCAGGCCCUAUGGGGCGCAGCAGGCGAGAAAACUUUGCAAUGUGCGCAAGCACGACAAGGUUAAUCCGAGUGUUUCCUGCUAAAGGAAUCUUUUGCUAGUCCUAAAAACACUAGCGAAUAAGGGGUGGGCAAGUUCUGGUGUCAGCCGCCGCGGUAAAACCAGCACCUCAAGUGGUCAGGAGGAUUAUUGGGCCUAAAGCAUCCGUAGCCUGCUCUGUAAGUUUCCGGUUAAAUCCAUUAGCUUAACUGAUGGGCCGCCGGAAAAACUGCAAAGCUAGGGAGUGGGAGAGGUAGACGGUACUCGGGAGGAAGUGGUAAAAUGCUUUGAUCUCUCGAUGACCACCUGUGGCGAAGGCGGUCUACCAGAACACGUCCGACGGUGAGGGAUGAAAGCUGGGGGAGCAAACCGGAUUAGGUACCCGGGUAGUCCCAGCUGUAAACUAUGCAAACUCAGUGAUGCACUGGCUUAUGGCCAGUGCAGUGUUGCAGGGAAGCCGUUAAGUUUGCCGCCUGGGAAGUACGUACGCAAGUAUGAAACUUAAAAGGAAUUGGCGGGGGAGCACCACAAGGGUGAAGCCUGCGGUUCAAAGGAAUUGGCGGGGGAGCACAGGAA
rnacentral:rRNA from 1 species